GAUGAACGCUGGCGGCGUGCCUAAUACAUGCAAGUCGAGCGAACAGACGAGGAGCUUGCUCCUCUGACGUUAGCGGCGGACGGGUGAGUAACACGUGGAUAACCUACCUAUAAGACUGGGAUAACUUCGGGAAACCGGAGCUAAUACCGGAUAAUAUAUUGAACCGCAUGGUUCAAUAGUGAAAGACGGUUUUGCUGUCACUUAUAGAUGGAUCCGCGCCGCAUUAGCUAGUUGGUAAGGUCACGGCUUACCAAGGCAACGAUGCGUAGCCGACCUGAGAGGGUGAUCGGCCACACUGGAACUGAGACACGGUCCAGACUCCUACGGGAGGCAGCAGUAGGGAAUCUUCCGCAAUGGGCGAAAGCCUGACGGAGCAACGCCGCGUGAGUGAUGAAGGUCUUCGGAUCGUAAAGCUCUGUUAUUAGGGAAGAACAAAUGUGUAAGUAACUAUGCACGUCUUGACGGUACCUAAUCAGAAAGCCACGGCUAACUACGUG
rnacentral:rRNA from 1 species